ensembl:antisense Gm15638 predicted gene 15638
GAACUCAGAUGUGGUUCACUGCAUUCUCCCAGGUGAAUGGGCUCCUCUAAAAAGAUGGGAGAUGUCGGCCUCUCCAGUGCACAGCACACUCAGAAUUACAAAUCUAAGUGUGACGUACGUGUGAGGAGCCACAGAGGAAGAGAAGAACCAUCAAGGCUACUGGCUGUCUUGUAACAGUAAACACAGCUCACGAAAUACCCAGCAAAGGAAGGGUGAUGAACCAACGUGAACAAGAGACUCUCAUGUUCCAAGUGGAUCUGAAAGUUGGGAAUUAGCUUCCUACCAAGGAAACUACCUGGUCCCCAGUAGGAAGACACACUGGAUCUUCCCUGGCUUUGAGCUGUUGAUCAGCUAUGUAGCACCCCUGUACAGUUAGCCAGUACAGCCUUCAGGGCGCUGGUGCUCAGGGGGAGAGCCCACGAUUAUUCAGUUGUGAAAUGACUGUCAUGUGAUUUCCCGGCACUUGGGAACAGACUCCUAACCACAGCCACGUUCCUGCUCCCCUGAUGUGUAGGCACAGGAAUGUAGGUUCACACUCCUAAUAUUCCCAUGAGUAGAAACAGUGAGGGUGCCAAGAGAGCUACUCAUUUGAGGGACACAUUCUCACUACCUUGCCUUUGCACUCAUCUUCAUGACCAUUAAACAGAGAGGCAUCAUUCAUUGGCAGCAAGGCUAAGAAAGCAGGACAUGAGACUAGUGAGAGUGUGGAUUACCAGCUGUAACUAGUGUGAACUGACUAGAUCCAGGGACUACUAACUCAAUCACGGGGACCUAGGAACACUAGGAAAUUAAGCUCAGACAUUCUUUCUGCUCACAGCAGUGCCCAGCACUACACAGACGGAAGCCCGGCAGACCUGACAGGCUCUUGGCUCUCACAGGGGCUGUAAUCUUAGUUGUAAUCUGUGAUGCUGGAUCAUUUAGCUUCCCUGAAUACUGUCGUACAUUAGGACCCACAAGGGGCCUUACAUGGCAUGCCCCUUCUCCACGUCAAAACACUGGCCCGGAUUUAAGAAUCAAAUAAAAGCAUUUGCAAAAGGGUGCCUUUUAUUCAGAAUAAAGGACCUAUCCUUCGUGUGAAAUAGCCUCUUUGGCGGCCCACACAGACUUGCAGUGGACUGGUCUUCACUCAGGUAUAGAAAUGUUCAUGUUAGAUUUUGCUAAAAGACUAUGGGGCAAAGGCUACAGGAGUCCUCUGUGUCUCUCCAUCUGCCUCUUCCCAGGUACUCUUUCUGUUUUUCUGGACAUACAGAAAACUUCACUUUUACUGAAUGAGUAAGUAACAUUAAGCUACAAAGAAUGAAGAAAAUGGAAUAGGAACUUGAACAUAUAUUUUUAAAAAAACGCAUAAUUCUAGGUCCUUUUAAGAGAUAUCACACUGAAUUAAGGUUGAUUGUUUGAUUUGAUUUGAUUUCAUUUGGUUCGCUUGUUAGCUCACACUUAGAAUCCCAACACUCUUGAAGACUGAGUCAGGAGGACUGCAAGCAGUCAGUUUGAGGCCAGCCUGGGCUACAGACAGGGUUUCACUCUACCAUACCCUUGUUCCCAAAGAGUGUUAGCAUCUAGCCUAGUCAUAGCUUCUCCUGGCUUUGAACUCACAAUCCCUUGCCUCAGCCUUCCAACUGCUGGGGAUUGCAGGUGUGCAGCACCAUGGCCAGCUGAACACAGUUAAUUUCGUUAAGACUUUGAAGGGCUGCGUGGAAAUGAGCCCAUCUUCAGUCCAUGGUUGACAUUAUCAGGAGUUCUCAGCACAAAGCAAGAACACUGUUCUUGCUUGCCUUUAAAACACCUGACUAAGCACAUGGCUAUUAUAUGAAACCAUGUUUCUCAAACUCAGAACCAAAUGAGUGUGACUAGGCAUGUGACUGGGCAUGUAACUGACUAGACAUGUGACAGACUGGUCAUGUGACUGGGCAUGUGACUGUCGUGUGACUGGGCAUGUGACUGUCAUGUGACUGGGCAUGUGACUGACUGGGCAUGUGGAUGACUGACUGGGCAUGUAACUGACUGGUCAUGUGACUGUCAUGUAAAUGGUCAUGUGACUGACGGACUGGGCAUAUGACUGGGCAUGUAACUGGACAUGUGAUGUGACUAAACACACCUUUCAUUAUUCAAAUUCUAGUCACUACCUAGAACUCAAGAACUAAACAGAUACUUGUAAAUAUCUUUUUUAAAAAACCUAAAUACAUGUCUCUUCAACUUGUUUUACAAAGGAUAGCCUACUGAAAAGUGAAUUUAUAAUAUCCCUCUACAUACAUAUUUGUCAUAUACAUAUAUACACAUAUACAUUAUACACAUACAUGUACAAAUAUGUAUACACAUACACACUUAUACACAUAAACAAUCUACAUAUAUACCCAAAUGUUCAUAUACAUGUAAUAUGCUUUCUUGCCAUCCUCUAUCCAUCAUUCACUGGUGCCCAGGAUGAAGAAUAUCAUCUCAUACAAAAUGACUGGAUCAUCCUCGUUUAUACGUAUAUCAGACCUAAUCCUAGCCCAAGUAUUUGAGGCUGUGGCAUGGUACUCAAGACUCAAUCAUGGUCAUGAAAGAAGAAAGAACAAACUCCUGGAGGACCAUCCCACCGUCCCUAGCAUGAAGCAUGACAAACUUUAUUUAGUGCUUUUUAACAGUGAUUAUCCCAGUCAGCUGUGUGGGCAGUAAGAGGAUCACCAUGGGUGUGUGUCAACAACAACAAAAAAAGCCACUGGGUGACAUUGGCUCAGAGUACUUGUCAUAGUAUCAAAAUAUAGUGAAUAUUUAUGGAAUAGUGCAAACAUUUUAAUAAAGUAUCAAAGGAUUCUUAGAGUGCUAUUCCUAUACUACCCCUAGAAUCCACAGCUUUACAAAAUGGUGUGUUUUAUGUUUUUGUAAUUCUCAAAGUUUUACUGUUGUUUAUUCAGAAUAAAAUCAAUUUAAAUG